rnacentral:rRNA from 1 species
GUCGAACGCUGGCGGCAGGCCUAACACAUGCAAGUCGAGCGAGCGGCGGACGGGUGAGUAAUGUUUGGGGACUGCCCGUAAGCUGGCCAUCACUACUGGAAACGGUAGCUAAUCACGUAUUCUAUCGGCUAACCCAUAUGGGAUUAGCUAGUCGGUGAGGUAAUGGCCUACCUAGGCGACGAUCUCUAGACCGUCUGAGAGGUUGAUCAGCCACACGGGGACUGAGACACGGCCCAGACUCCUACGGAGGCAGCAGUGGGGAAUAGUGCGCAAUGGGAGAAAGCCUGAUGCAGCCAUGCCGCGUGUAUGAAGAAGGACCUAGGAUUGUAAAGUACUGUCAGUCGGGAAGCGGUACCGACUGAGAAAGCACCGGCUAACUCCGUGCCAGCAGCCGCGGUAAUAC